GACGAACGCUGGCGGCGCGCUUAACACAUGCAAGUCGAGCGAUGAAAUUUCGACAGAUCCCUUCGGGGUGAAGAUGAAAUGGAUUAGCGGCGGACGGGUGAGUAACACGUGAGUAACCUGCCUUUGACAUUGGGAUAGCCUCGGGAAACUGGGAUUAAUACCAAAUGACACUAACUGAUCACAUGAUCAAUUAGUCAAAGAAAUUCGGUCAAGGAUGGACUCGCGGCUGAUUAGCUAGUUGGUGAGGUAACGGCCCACCAAGGCGACGAUCAGUAGCCGGCCUGAGAGGGUGAUCGGCCACAUUGGAACUGAGACACGGUCCAAACUCCUACGGGAGGCAGCAGUGGGGAAUAUUGCACAAUGGGGGAAACCCUGAUGCAGCGACGCCGCGUGAGCGAAGAAGGCCUUCGGGUCGUAAAGCUCUUUUAUGAGGGAAGAUAAUGACGGUACCUCAAGAAAAAGCCCCGGCUAACUACGUG
rnacentral:rRNA from 1 species